rnacentral:rRNA from 1 species
CGGAGGAAAAGAAACCAACAGGGAUUGCCCUAGUAACGGCGAGUGAAGCGGCAACAGCUCAAAUUUGAAAUCUGGCUCUUUCAGAGUCCGAGUUGUAAUUUGCAGAGGGCGCUUUGGCGUUGGCAGCGGUCCAAGUUCCUUGGAACAGGACGUCACAGAGGGUGAGAAUCCCGUACGUGGUCGCUAGCCAUCGCCGUGUAAAGCCCCUUCGACGAGUCGAGUUGUUUGGGAAUGCAGCUCUAAAUGGGAGGUAAAUUUCUUCUAAAGCUAAAUACUGGCCAGAGACCGAUAGCGCACAAGUAGAGUGAUCGAAAGAUGAAAAGCACUUUGGAAAGAGAGUCAAAUAGCACGUGAAAUUGUUGAAAGGGAAGCGCUUGCAGCCAGACUUGCCUGUAGUUGCUCAUCUGGGUUUUUACCCGGUGCACUCUUCUGCGGGCAGGCCAGCAUCAGUUUGGGCGGUUGGAUAAAGGUCUCUGUCAUGUACCUCUCUUCGGGGAGAACUUAUAGGGGAGACGACAUGCAACCAGCCUGGACUGAGGUCCGCGCAUUUGCUAGGAUGCUGGCGUAAUGGCUGUAAGCGGCCCGUCUUGAAACACGGACCAAGGAGUCUAACAUCUAUGCGAGUGUUUGGGUGUCAAGCCCGAACGCGUAAUGAAAGUGAACGGAGGUGGGACCCCAUUAGGGUGCACCAUCGACCGAUCCUGAUGUCUUCGGAUGGAUUUGAGUAAGAGCAUGGCUGUUGGGACCCGAAAGAUGGUGAACUAUGCUUGAAUAGGGUGAAGCCAGAGGAAACUCUGGUGGAGGCUCGCAGCGGUUCUGACGUGCAAAUC